rnacentral:rRNA from 1 species
CCUACGGGGGGCUGCAGUGAGGAAUAUUGGUCAAUGGACGAGAGUCUGAACCAGCCAAGUAGCGUGAAGGAUGACUGCCCUAUGGGUUGUAAACUUCUUUUAUAUGGGAAUAAAACGUUCCACGUGUGGGAUUUUGUAUGUACCUUAUGAAUAAGGAUCGGCUAACUCCGUGCCAGCAGCCGCGGUAAUACGGAGGAUCCGAGCGUUAUCCGGAUUUAUUGGGUUUAAAGGGAGCGUAGGUGGGUUGUUAAGUCAGUUGUGAAAGUUUGCGGCUCAACCGUAAAAUUGCAGUUGAAACUGGCAGUCUUGAGUACAGUUGAGGUGGGCGGAAUGCGUGGUGUAGCGGUGAAAUGCUUAGAUAUCACGAAGAACUCCGAUUGCGAAGGCAGCUUACUGGACUGCAACUGACACUGAGGCUCGAAAGUGUGGGUAUCAAACAGGAUUAGAUACCCCGGUAGUC